rnacentral:rRNA from 1 species
GGAUGAACGCUAGCUACAGGCUAACACAUGCAAGUCGAGGGCAGCAUGAAGUUGCUUGCAAACUUGAUGGCGACCGGCGCACGGGUGAGUAACGCGUAUCCAACCUUCCCUAUAGUAGAGGAUAGCCCGGCGAAAGUCGGAUUAAUACUCUAUGUUUUCCAAUGCAGACAUCUAAAAUGGAACAAAGGUUUACCGCUAUAGGAUGGGGAUGCGUCUGAUUAGGUAGUCGGCGGGGUAACGGCCCACCGAGCCAUCGAUCAGUAGGGGUUCUGAGAGGAAGGUCCCCCACAUUGGAACUGAGACACGGUCCAAACUCCUACGGGAGGCAGCAGUGAGGAAUAUUGGUCAAUGGACGAGAGUCUGAACCAGCCAAAAGUAGCGUGCAGGAUGACGGCCCUAUGGGUUGUAAACUGCUUUUAUACAGGGAUAAAGUGGGGAACGUGUUCCCUUUUGUAGGUACUGUAUGAAUAAGGACCGGCUAAUUCCGUGCCAGCCGCCGC